rnacentral:rRNA from 2 species
CACUCUAAGCGGUGGAUCACUUGGCUCAUGGGUCGAUGAAGAACGCAGCAAACUGUGCGUCAUCGUGUGAACUGCAGGACACAUGAACAUCGACAUUUUGAACGCAUAUCGCAGUCCAUGCU